rnacentral:misc_RNA from 1 species
CAGAUUCCAUACUCCAGUUCAUCUCAGAAAACAGUAGAAAUGAUUAUGAGAGAAAAAUUAACUAAAGGACUAGAGCCAUUGCAUUUGGAGAUACAAAAUGAAAGCAAAAUGCAUAAUGUUCCAAAAAAUUCUGAAACACAUUUCAGAGUACAAGUAAUUUCACCUCUGUUUGAAAAUAAGACAUUGCUUAUG